AUUGUCUCUAUUUACCCAGAUGGGGGCAGAACACUUCUGCUGUUCUUCUUCAGCAACCUCUCAUUUUCCACCAACUGCCUAAGCACUACACACAUACACAGAACAAGACCACAGAACUCUCAGAAGAAGGGCAGACUUUCCUGUGCCUUCUGUAAGGUGAGAGGUUAAUGCAUUAAUAGAAUGAGCAUUGAAGAGAAAGCAACGGGAGAGUCGCAGUGGUGGUGAAAGUUUAAACGCUGUAGCUACACUACAAUGACGACUCACAAAUACACAGUCAUCAUCAUAUUUAGCCUUUUCCUCCCAAUCGAAGGUGAGAUCUUUGAGCAAUCUGUGCUGGAAGGCAAGAAGUUCAUCUUCCCUCUGCCGAAUGUGACGUCUGACACAGACAUCAGCUCAGUCGAAUGGAAACAGAGGGACAGAAACAAACUUCUGGCUCUCAUUAGCUUGGACAAUGCUAAUAAGACAAUAAUAUUUUGUCAGGAAAGCAGAUUUCAGUUCAUGCAAAAUGGGUCAAUGAUCAUCAGAGAUGUUAAACAAGAAGAUACUGGCAAUUACACUUGCAAAAUCAUAUUCAAAAACAACAAAAUUGAGAUAUAUAUCAUCUCAUUGACUUUGUACUCAGGCAAGUACAAAGCUCUUUAAAUUUGAAAGGGUGUUGCAUGCAAAAGCAUGGUUCGUUAACUAUGUCACUGUUGAAGAAAAUACCCACCUCACUAAACUUCGCCAUGCAGCUGCAUUAUUUCUGGCAUUUGUGUAGUCAGCUCUUUGUUUCAAAUUCCACCUAUAUCGUAGAUCAUACAUUAUGUUUAAUUUUUUGUCGGAAUGAAAUUGUUGCAUAUUAACAACUAAGAUAAAAUUUCUUUUAUGUUCGGUUUAUUUUCACUUUGGUUAAAAGUUUCCUGCCAUUGCAUUUGACCACCUGCUGAUAGUGGUGCAGUGGAAUUUACCCCUUGAUAAUAGUUACUUAAAGAAACGUGCAGCAACAAUUUAGUCCUUUAAUCCGUCCAGCCCUCUCUACUCCGUAUCAGCAAGUCAGCUUCAAUAACAUUCAUGAUAAUAGCGCCAUCAAUGCCAUCACUUUUGUCCUCUCAUAGAUCGCUCACUAAACCAGCCAAGCCUCUGGUUGACUUCAGAUUCUGCACUGCAUUCUGGAACUUUCAAAGCCAUCUCCAAAAAUACAGAACAGACCCCUAUUCAUAACUCCACUUCCACUACAACAGUUUCAGUGGACCAAGGUCUUUAUAUAGUGCUGAUUCCAGUGACUGGAGGUUUUCUUCUACUUGGCAGUGUGAUAGUCAUUCUUAUAAAAUGUAGAAAAAAAUCUUCUACUUUGGAUGAACCCAUUUACAUGAACUCAAACCGCAAGUGUGAAAGAAACCCACAGACAAAAAAAAAGGCCAGAUGUGGCCAGAAGGAAAUUAAAUGAGUACAUUAAAUCAUGUUCCUUUAAACUACUUUUGACUUAAAUGUUCUGUCAAGCAACAUGCUAUGGCUUGCCUCUGCAAGACCUGACCUGAAACAAUGUGUUGCUAGUGUGUGGUUUUACAGGCAACUUUUUUUAAGGGUCUGUUCCGGCUUGUGCAUUUGCCAGGAAAUGACAUGCAUGUCUUCUGGGCAGAGCACCUGCAGCUCUUUCAUGUAUUAUUUUGUAUCUCAAAAAUUAUACUUGAUAAAUUUAGCCUUUUCUUUUUUAAACAUAUUUCUAGACAGAAAUAUAACACUUUAGAAUUACAGAUAUUUAUAGAAAAUUAUGUUGUGUAAGAAUUGUGAAUUGCAACCAAAUUUUAAAAAAUAUUGAGCCCUUAAAGGUUCUUUGGGUGUUCCUUGGAAGAAAUGCUUAAAGGUUUCAUGCAGAACCAUACAAAAAAAGAAUUUUCAUAACAUAUUUAAGUACAUACAGUAGGUAUCCAAGCACCUUUAGCUGACCAAAGAACUCACAGAAAAACUCCUUUUUAAAGAAUGCAUUAUGUUUCAUAAAAGAAAGUUUUCUGUAAAAGACUUCAAUUAUCCAGUGAACCAUUGUGUAAGUUAACACUCGGGUUGGAUAGAAUGUUUUUGUGUGCUGUAGCUGGUGUGUAUUAGAUAAUCAGUGACAAUCAAAGCCAACAAAGGAGCAGACAAGUAGGUUAAAACCGACCAUCUGCUAGCCACAAAGAAUUGAAAGACAGAAGUCAUUUCACAUUGUCUGAAGUAUUAUUUUAAGCUAUCUUAACUUUAUACUAACAUAUGUAGCUACAAAUAAAUAAGACCAACAAGAUGAUUCCACUAAUUGUUAUCUACAGAUAAGAUAUGCUAUACAGUAUGCUGAAUUUCUCUGUGAAUUUGUUGAUUUAAUUUCAAGCCUUGUUGUUUUUCUUAACAAAGCAUCAAUUGUUGGAGACUUUAAUAUUCAUUCAGAAGAUCAUCUGAGAACAGCAGGUGUGUCCAUCCACCCAUAAUAGAGGUCACACUCUUGAUCUCACACCAUUGUUUUGUCUCAUUUAUAAUGUGUCUUAGACAUUAUCUAUGCAGUUUGACACAUCAGCAUGUUGAACAUGUAUUUAUGUCUGCUACUGCAGAGAGGUUCAUCAACAAUCUCCCAGAAUUAUCACCCAUAACUGGAACAAUGUCUGACUGAUUACUUAUAGAUUAUUUUUAGAUCCACUAAAAAUAAUCUGUUCUUUCCUUAGAAUUCCCUAAAGUAUGCCAAAUAAGGCAGAUAGCAUUUUGGAAAGGAUUACUUUGAACUGAGAAAAUCAGAAUGGAAUGAUUAAAUGAUUAAAAGGUUUGUGUGGCAGUGCAAGGAACUAUUGGGACUAUUCACUGCCAGUUCUCCAGAGGGGGAGCUUGCAGGUAUAUUGCUUAUCCUUGUUUAGGGUCAUGUGAUUCUGUUAUGUGUUAUGCCACCUGUUCGUAGUAAUCUCUGAUGUGUUGCCUUAUAUAUACACCUGUCCAUUCGUGUCUGUCUGUCUUUGUUGAGUUAUUGUCUACUGUCGUGUUGAGUUUUAUUUUUGAUUAUGUUUUGAGUAUUCCUGCAUCGCUUUGGUUGUCAUGUUUCAUGUAGUGUUUCGUUUGUUAUGUUCUGUAAUUAAAAAAGGACAUGGUUUCAA